GCAAAAGAAAGCGAGAAAAAUUUUUGCAUAUUUCCUUGAAAAAGUUCGACGCAUUAAAAGAGCCUUUUCCGGCUGCUUAUAUUAAAAAAAGGGGUUCGAUGACAAUAACAUAUUCUAUAUCAAGAGGAUAUAACGUGGUAACCAGCCAAAAAUUACAACAGGAAAGAAAGAAAAAAAUUAAAUGGAAAGAAAGGAGAGAGAAGAGAGGGAAGGGGGUGGGAAUCAAAACUCAACUUACAUCUUGGCAUGUACAAGCAAAAGGUGUCGCACUACGAAUCAACGGAGGCGCCAGCUUGACCUUGCAAGUGUCCUCACAAAGGUCUGAAUGAGACCGACUGGGGAUGACCGUUGGGGGAGACCACUGGUCUGGCACCAUAAGAAAAUACGCUGUCAUUGCUUUUCUGAAUCGUUUCUUAUACUGCUCGGGUGAGAUCACAGUUGGAGUGGCGUUCUUAGACCCGCCAAGGAUGCCUGAUGCCUUCACCUUCACCCAGGUCUCAAGGUGCUUGUCCCACGUAUACUGUCUUAUAAAAUCAAUGAUUCCGAGUACCAACUCGUGCUUUUCCUCAUCCACACCAACCAAUAGCGAAUAGUCCAUUACAUCAAUCGACUGUAGCAACAUAUAACAACAAAUUAAAACAAUACAUAAAAGCUAGAUAACACUGCACUAAAUGGUGAACACCACAAGAGAUUCAGGUGUAGCAAUUACUGACUGAGCCUUAAAUCCAAUGAUUUUUUUUACCGAAUUUUCUUUCAAACUGAAAUGAAAAUGGCACACUGAGAUCGCAUAAUAUAUAUCGCAUAAUAUAUAGGGUUAACAAGUAAUAACGGUUCCCCUUCCCAGAAUUGGAACUACCUGGUACACUUUGACACAUUACAGGUGCUCCAGGGAAAGGAAAUAAGAUAUAAAGAAAAACCACUAAAGUUACAUAAUUAUUUAAGCACAGGAGAGGGAGAAAGCACUGCAAUUCAGUGACAACUUACGGCAAGAAAUGAAGUGUCAUUCCAGACAGCCCUCUCUAGCAAAUGCUUUGCCUUGUUUCCCACAAAAAUUGGAGAAGUUGGCAUUGAUUCAAUCAAAUUCUGGUCCAGCAGAACUUUGUUGCUCCCACUUGUAUCUGGAUUGUAUCGUGAUCGAGAAGAUCCUUUAAGGUCAUAAAGCCGUACAACAUUUCGCUUAAACAGGAGAUUCUCCAUUACCAGAACAUCCAUUUUCGAUUCUUUCCCCCCUUUGAGGUGCUUUGAUGAAACCUGAUAAAUACCAAGUAUCUUAGCCAGGCAAGUUGGGUUUCCAGUACUGAUUGAGUGAGAUAAAUACUUAAAAUAUGCUGGUCCAAAUUUGAUGAAUGACUCCAGCUCCGUUUUUGUAACCUGUUUGAUGAUAAAUCGAUCAUCCAAAGUUUUAGCAAAGAAAACAUUGCUCUUGCCACCCUGGGCUCCCCACUUCUUACAGCGACUAAGAGAUCGUAUGAAAUCAAAUUCGGAAGGGCAACAAAUCCUCCUUAAGGCCUCAAACCUCUUUGCAUAGUAACAAGUCACCAUAUAUUUCACUUUUCCUUGAACACUAUCAUCUGUAAAAGAAACUCUGGCAUGCAAAUCCUUAGUGUAUGAGAGAGGAUCCAAAAUCUGAGGGCCUCGGGACCCAGGCAUGGACAGGAUGCUUUCUUCAAUAGAACCAAGACUUCUGUAAAUAUCAGAAACUGAUUCAUCAAAAGAGUUAAAUGAUAGUAGAUGCACUGAAUCAAAGAGUGGCAAUGAAAUUGUAGUCUCCCCAGAUUCUUUUGGUUUUUCAAGCUCAGACAUCUGGAGAUGAUAAUCAGGUGAGACAAGUGCAUAUGCUAUAAUGCUAGUGGGUUCAUCAUCAUAAACAGGAACAACAGUGUCAUUGACGCCAACAGGCAGAAGCAACUUAGCACUGUUUUGCCGUUCCAACUCUCUAAAAAGUGAGACAUAAACAGGAUUGUACUCGCUAAUACCAAUCUUUUGAGCAUCCAAUGAAGUUCUUUUGAAUGAACUGUAUAAAUUAGGAAAUGGCAUUCCCACUGUACUGGAGUUUUCUACAUUUUGAGGCCACUUUGAGGCUAAUGCAGAAUCAGGAGAAUGAACAACCUCAAACCCACCUUUGUCAACAAUACAAUGUUCCAAUUCUGCAUUUGCAGCAACUGAAUUUACUGGAAUUGAAUCAGGAAGGGAGAAACCUUUCUCUUCAAGUAUCAUAGCUAAGUGAUUUUUGCCAGUCCAUGCUGCAUCAAGUGAGUCAGAUAAAUUAUCCACAAUUGGAAACUCACCCUCUGAACGGACUCGCCGCAAAACAUUUCCAGAUUCUGAAGGGUCAGUUUUCUCAUUACUCUUUGCACUAGAAGAAAGACAAAGCUCUGAAUCCUUCAUCAGGUUCAGGUCCAGAUCUCUGUCCCUUCCUUCAUGUACCCUGACUGACUGGCUAACAGAGCUAUCAUUUCCUCCUUGAUUAAGAUUUAGCUCUGGCUUUGUAUGCACGAGAAUGGAAUCACAAUUGCUAAAGCCUUUGCCAGGCUUAAGAGAUGUAUCCACCUCAACAAGGCUCUCGACAGAAUUGACACGUUUUUCCUUGAGUUUUGGAACAAAAUUCCUUAGACCUUCCUCAGGAUUGGUGUUGCUUAAACUACCUGCAUAAAUCAGCCGUUGGUCCCAAACAUAAGAAUGGAAGAGUAUCUGCCUCCUUAAUUUAUUAAGCUCAAGAAGAUCAAACACAGGUUGGCCAACUUUCGCCUCCUUAGAUAUUGCAUUCUGUAAAGAUUCCUCAAGUUCUUCUUUCUCCUUCUGCAGUAUCCCUUCUAGUUCUGCAACAUGAAAUCUUGAUAAUUCAGAUGAUUUUAAGUUACCAUUCUGUGAUCCUUCACCUAAUGUUUUCUCUGAAAUCUGAUGAAGGGCAUUUUGCACUUCUGUAAAUAGAAGUUCUGCCCUUUGACGUACCUCAUUUGCUUCUUUUUGAAUCCACUCCUGAUUAUCACAGUUAAAUUCAAUUUUUGGUGGUGGAAGAUAAACUGAAUGAACAUCAAUUGAAGCAUAGCGGAAGCAAGCAACCAUUCUCCCAAAUCCGUAAAACCUAAGACAAUCUCUGUGAAGGGAAUGACCACAGCUUGCAACCCUGCUUGCGGCUGCAUGAUUUGAAAAGCUAAGCUCCAAAAAUUUCCCAAAAGACAAACCCCAGGCAGCAUCAGACAUCACUACUCUUCGAGUGGCUGGAGGAAAGCCAUUGUUCCGUGGACAUCGCAGGCACCUGUGCCACAUCCAAAUUUUGCCUUCACGUUCCCCUGGUAAAAGAAACUCCGGGAGUUUCUUAACAGACAUUGUAAGGCUACCUUGCCGAUGAGUAUAACAGUAAACGUGAGCUUCUGAUGGCAUCUCACAUGAACGGCAGCGGUAAUUCUGAUCAAAAAGAUGACCUCGUAAAAACCGCCCCAAAGGUUUGUCAAAACUCCCAUAGUAUUUUAUUCGAAAAAGAUGGGCCCUUUCACACACAGUUCCUUUCCACACACAUCGUGUUGAUAAUGACACCAAAAUGCUCUGAUGGUCUGAAGGUGAUGGAGGAAACUCCUCCUUUGUUGAUCCAAUCUCUUCAUGAUUGUUACCAUCAUUCUUUACAGCCAAAACAUUUCCAUCAGCAUGGCUACUGUCAAUAUCUUGUUCCAAUGCUACUGAGGUGCCAAAAGAUGUACAAAAUAAAGGACUGUCCGAAUUGGCUCUUUUGCCCUGAAAGGAUUCUUCAGCUUCUGUCUUAUAAUCCUUCCCCGAGACAUGAUCUGAGAAUAACUUGUUAUGGCAAGGACCUGAGGCGUCCUGCCCUAAAGGAGACAAAGAAGUCAAGGAACCAGUGUGUUCAGUUGAGCUUGAGCAAAGGUUCCUGUACUCAAUUUGAGAAGAUGGACUUUUUGACAGAAAAGUAGAAUCAGCAUGUCCUGACUCGCAAACAGGCUCAAAAUUGGUAGGUGAGGCCACAUCUGAGAUGAUACCUUUGUUUGAUUUUUGUACUAUGCUUGGAGGUUGGGAACUUGACAGCUUUCUAGUUCCAGGGACAGUAAAACCAGGUAUAGUGGAAAUGGACCUGUCAAUGCUUGAUGGUUUAUCAGGUAAUGCAACAGUUAUUGGAGACUUCAAAGGAAGCUCCAGAAGGGAAGCACCUUCGUCAGCCAGAAAAGAAGUCUCUAAUGCCAAGUGAUAAGCUGCAAAAACUCCAUAUUGGACCACAUGCUUCACCUUCUUCAAAUCAUCACCAUGGGCACCCUUAAGCAAAAUCUGAUGACGGAAAAGAAAAUUACUAACUCUAUCUUAAUUAUCUUUACAACAUCUAUCCUCAAAUUGCAGUCCCUAAGCAAGUCUAAUAAGUAGCUGAGUUACUCCACGGGUGUUGCCAUAUUUAUAUCAGAGAACACAUCAAAAGGCCUAAGCAAGGAGCGAUUAAUUAAUGUAAUUCUUGUAACUUACUAAUCAGGUUGCAAAUUGCUUCCUAGUCUAUGCUACAUUAUGUUUCUCAAUUCAGUCAUAAUUGAAACCAUAAAUGAAACCAUACAUUAAUUUUGGUAAAGAAACCAUAAAUGAAACUACAAGGAAAUGUCUCUGGCCAAUGAAGAAGUACUCUAAACGACACUGCUGACUAUGAUCAGAAGUGGCAUUGUAAAUUAUGCAACUCCACUUUGUGUGUGUAUUUGUCUAUAGACUGCAAAAACUUACAGUGCAACCCAAAGGCUUUGGGCAACCCUCAAAGAACAUCAGAGUCUUAGUCAACUUCUUCCCACCUUGCCCUGCGCUGCCAUGCUCCUCAAGAAAUUUCUCCACAUGGAAAAGGUCACAAUAACCCAGUUUCUGUGAAUUGAGAUGAUCAAUUGAAGGGACUAUGUGUGCACCAGUGCAGCGGGCUAUCCGCUCUAAAAGUGGCCUCUUAAUAUUCAAAACAAGGGAAAUGUCUUUUGCCAGAAGGUAUUCUUGAGCAUAUCGGGAAACUGAUUUCUCUACCAAAAGAACAUUAGGGUGAUGAGCAUCAAUCUUUGCAACUGCCAUCUUCAAAUGGUCCAUUUCCUGCUGUAACAAAGUAUCUACACUUGACAAAUGGUUAGAUACACGCUGAUACUCCAAAGCUCCUCCAAGGAUUAGAAAGUGUGGUUUAUCUAUUUUUGACAUCAUUCGACGAUGAGCCACAUUUUUCUUACAGACAACUCCUUUAACCACCAUACUCUCACUACGACGCCCACUGGCUAUGCAUUUAACCUUCACAUAUCCACCAGGAUCCAUUCCUCCGCCCGUGCUUGUAUCUGGCUUAAGAAGAGUAGCAGCUUCCGAGGACAAAGAAGUGAUUAUCUCCAACCAACUGUCAUUGGCAUCUUCAUCACCUACAGAUAGAUUUUCAACUUGCAAGAGCUGUGCUACUAAAGCUCUAAAGUGCCCUUCCAACACAUUCUUCAUCGCCUUUCUGUGCUCUUCAGUUGAUUUAUCCUUACAGCGGUACUCGCCACUACCAAAGCUGUUUGAAGGGCGUAAGAAACCCCACUCCCCAGUUGUAGCUUCAUCAUCCUCAUCAUCAUCAAAUAAAACAGCUUCUCUCUCAUCAUCUUCAUCUUCUGGUUCUGGAGGGAGCCAAAGUAGCCCAUUGUUCUCAAAAUCAACAGGUUCAGCAUCAGCACCAUUCACAUCAUAGGAAGAAGCUUCACACUCAUCACCAUCAUGUCCAUAAGCUUCUUCCCCAUCAUUCUUAAUUUUGUCUACACCCUGUGUGUCAAAAUUCUCAGAUAAUGGUGGACAUCUUAUGCUUGUUGUAUCGAUUUGAUCUCUAUCGUGAAUUAUUCCACGUGGUCCAUACAUGUGGUCAACAUCAUCAACAGUGUCUGGCCCAUAAUAGUCAUCAGCAUGAGAGAAAUGCCUUGUUCCUGAAACUGAAUGAUAAACACCAUAUUCAUCAUCCUCAUCAUCACUCCUGUUCAUGCAAUACCCAAACUGGUUUGCAGAUGAACAGAAUGCAGCUGCAGGAGCAUCUGAACUCCUUCCACAAGUUAAAUUUUCUUGGUCAACUGCAUUUGGAUCCAUUGAAGCAGAUUGUUGAGGACUAAGACCAGAGCUAUAUGGCAGAGUCUGGUAAGCCCCAGUCGAGUAUGAAUUUGAACCAACAGUGCUGCUGCUGCUGUUAAAGGUGCAGCAGGACUUGGUGCUGACCAAACUUGUUGCAGAGGGUGAUGGACUGAGCCCAGGGCUACCCACAUUGGUCCCAUUGUCAACAGCUGUUAUCCCCUGUUGCCAUUGCUUGAAGCAAUAAUUACAGACCCUGACCCUUUCCCAAUCUUCACUGCCUGUCCUUGGGUCAUCUGAUGGGGCAGGAAUUGAGCUUGCCGUACACUUAGCACAAAAAACUCGGCCACAGAGUCUACAAUGAUGCCUACGGUUAAAUACUGUGAACUGGGAGUCACACUCAUAACAUACCCUACAGCUCUGGUCGGGCAUCCAAAAGUCCCUUGACACAUUCGCUGGUUCACUCCUCCUAGGUAUCCAGGAUUUAACUAUAUCAACAAAAUCAGAUACUUUUUUAUCAGGUUUGCCCAUUGACAGCAAUCCCAGCCGAACCUCCACCUCAUUAUGUAAUGCUCAUUUGCGACAGCCUUACAACUGCAAAUUGGAUUCUCGGCAACAACAGCCCUAGGAUUGCUAGCGGCUUCAAUUCCUGAAAUCUUCAAAGCUGAAAAGAAAGCAGAUCCUCUAAAAAUCAAUCAAAAACUGAAUUCAAUCGAAAUCAUAUUAAAGAGUGGGCGAAAUCCCGUAGCAAUUCUAAUUCCAUACACGGCACCACUCAAAUGCAUAACAUCCCUCUGCCAAUCAAACAAUGAAUAGAGAUCUUCAGGUAACCCACCAAAAAUAUUUAAAUUUCAUAUUAAGAUUAUUAUUAUUAUUAUUAGGUAAUGAAAUUAAUGAUUAAAUGGAGGGGAAAGGAGAGAAAACGGUUAAGAAUGCAGCUGUCGCAUUU
rnacentral:misc_RNA from 1 species